AUUUGACGAUUUUCCGAUUUUCCCAUACAAAAAAUCAGAAAAACCAGGCUUCGCCCCCCAAUAAUUUAACCAAGUUGGCGCGUCUGAACAGAAGUUCUCAUAUCUUCUUCAUUAAUUAUCAUAUAAUUCCCUAUCAGCAUUGUCCUUGUCAGCUUCUUCUGAAAGAUUCGUCUACUCCGAAUUUCGAAUCACAAAUUCGCUAACACGAUUUUAUUCUAGAGCGGUUGUAACUCUAACAAAUCACAGAUUAUUUCUCAGAAUCGCCCCCAACAUCCCCCAGCAUUUGCUCCCGGCAUUGCAAUGCAUUGCCAGCUUCUAGCUGGAAUCCCACCUUUCCCAAGUAACAUUUUCUAAACAAAUAGCCUGGAAGAGGUUUUCAGAACUAUCAUAGAAUCAAAAUAAAUGGUAUAAGGUUAACGAUGGUUCUCAAAACAUCUAUAAGAGUAAUUGUCCAUCAAAAUGUUACUUGGGUUACUUUUCUCACUUACUUCACGGAAUCCUCAAAGUUCUGGUAUCCUCGGGUGUCAUCCUGCUUUCAUCUGUAAUCUCCUGAGCUUCUAACAAAAUUCCUGCUGAAAUCAUCAGCUUCUUACGUGGAGAAGAUGUGUUUUGACCAGAGUUCUCCGCAGUUCUCCGCUCCACAUCAUCAGACUCAGAGGCAGCAAAACGCUCAAAGAAAUAGCUUGUGUGCGAAAACUUUAUAAAUUUUCUGUACUAUUAUUGUUCAUCAGUACAACUGUGCGAGAAAUCACUCUAAGCGUUGAGUCGACUGCAAUGUUCGAUAGAGUGAUCUAAUGUUAUUGUUCAAGUGAAUUCCGAUCGAGCUCGGUGACAGUUGCUGAAGCUUAGCAAUCGGUUGAGAGUGAUUACGAAAAAAAUAUAGAGCAAACUCACUUCUUACUUUUCACUGUGUACAAGCGCGCGUAAAACGGGAAGAACCGCGCAAAAUGAUGUGCGCUAAACGGGCACAGCCUGCUGCAGAAGUGGAACAAGCACAGCAAGAAAAGCAUGAAUAUUUAUCUCUCCGAUACGGGUGUGCUUCCUUCCACUCCACUAGACCAAAGUUAAGAGGUUUGUGGAAAGCCCCCGUAUUGGUCAUCCGUAGACACGGAAUGGGGCGCGACGCGACGGUGGGAAGCGUUUCAGACAUAAAUGCCAGGUUCAGCCGGAGGAGAGGCCCGUGAUUUGCCGGGAAUGUCUAGGAUAGACAAGGUGCAGCAGCAGAAGCAGAAUGGGGCCGCUCGGAAGAAUGAGAUCGGCCGAUGAAUGUGCUCUGUGCAUGUGUGUGUAUGGUGUCUAACAUAAUCAACGUUGUUAUCAUCAGUCGGGUGGAACGUGUUCCUUUUGCUCCAUCUAGGCAUAUCUAGGAGAAAACGGGGCCCAGAGGCGGGACGGCACGGUGGAGGAUCGGCGCACUAUGAAUUUUUAUCGGAGAAUUAUGAGCCAUAGCUUUAUCAUCACUUUUCUCCACUAUGUGCUGCUGCUGCUGCACAGGAACGAUGCGAUGUGCUGUGGCCGGCCAGAAGGGAGCAAAUUUAUAAAAUGUUUACUGCGAUAAACUCUCCAGGGCAGGAAAUGUCGGUACGUUGUUGGUGGAGGAGAAGAAGAAGAAGACGACGAGAACAAAGACUUCCCAGAAUUUGUUGUAGUGUCUUGCAUGUGGUUCUGAUAAAAAUGAAAUAUUGUUCGCACGGAGAAUGCUGUGUCGAGUUCCAUUUAUGGAAUUUGAUUGCGUUGCGCUGUGAUUUUGCACUUGAAGUAAGUAAACAUGAUAUGGAGGGGAUAGUGUUGGCAUUUUGGUGAACAUUGCUCCACGAUAUUAAGUUCAACAAUUACAAUGGUUGUACAAGUGAUAAAGGAAGAACCCAGGCUAUAUUUUCGGCCAGUACAGGAUAAAUAUAAACAUAAUUUAUCCACUUUUAAUCACUCCGCUUUAAUUAAUAGACGUGUUUCCUCAUCUCGACACGAAAAACCUACUUGACUCGGAACUAUUUACUUUCUUAAGCUCUACUGAGUCAAUUUCCACCAAAACGCUUCAAGCCCAUCAUGGAAGAAAACCUUCACCUAUCGUGCAGCUUGAAAGCAAAUGUGUACAUCCUACCGCUCGAAUAUGUUAAAUAGACAACUCCUCAGCCGCUUGGCACGCGAAACGCCUUUCUUUUCACCUACUUUGGAUGCUUAAGACCAUCAUAUUGUUGAAAACAAUAACUGCGAGCCCCGGACUCCGUAGUUAAGUAUCUACGCACCCCACCACACCACCACAACAACCACCAUGCCGCCGUCAGCUCUCGCCAAGCGCGAAAAUUGAAUUUAACUUUUUCUUCUCCAUAUCAAACAGCUCUCCUCCGAAAUAGGCAAAGUUUGCGCCGCCAAGUUCAAGAGUGCUGGCUUUUUUUGGCGUGGCCGUGGCGGUGACAACGACUCCAACAACGACAAUGGAACCGACACGUCGUCCUGUACCUACGGUCCUGUCAUUUUCCGCCCGCUAGGAGCGCGAGAGACACAGACAACACGGCAAAAGACAAAUUCCAUGAAACUCCGGCGUUUAUCACUUUUCGGGAAAUUUUUCCGCCACCGCACGAGUUUGCUGGAGAUGGACUGAUGUUCUUUAAUACUUAGAAGGUGAUUCACUUUCGGUGCAAGAAAUUUUCAUCAACUUAGCUCUCGUUGGGCAAUAAGUUUUUUUUAACGAGGUCUAACCGAACCGAUAAAUACGCGGAUAUUCAGCAAAAAGGGGUCUGCAGUGAGUCUAGUGGUUAAGGCUUUGGAUCGCCAAUCUGGAAACGGCGGGUUCGAUUCUCGUUCCAGUCGGGAAAAUUUUCUCUACUCCCUGGGCAUAGUGUAUCAUUGUACUUGCCUCACAAUAUACAAAUUCAUGCAAUGACAGGCAAAGAAAGCUCUGCAAUUAAUAACUAUAGAAGUGCUCGAAGCUUGAGCUUGAGCUUGAUUGACCGCCCGUGGAUGCUACUCCAGUAUCGCCAGACCAGCACACUCACACAAGGACCAAUGAGAUAACUGCCGGGGACUAGCAGGCAUCUUCAGCAUUGAUGCAUCUUCUAUUUUUAGGCGACAAUGGCGCCUGCCACGUCAGGUUGCAGGUCAAUGUGGGGAAGGGGUAAGAAAGUGAUAAUUGCAAUCGUUUUUUUUUUUUUUUUUUUUUUUUUUUUUUUUUCUUAACGUUUGUAUCCACAUCUGGCCGAAUAUACCUCUGCGCCAGCACAAAUUCAUGCGGAUGUUGGAGUGUUGGUGGGAAUUGGUUGGCAGAAGGUUCACACAUUGGUGUGUGGAUACCAGGGGAAAGGUGAUAGAAUUGUGUGUUUUUAUUAUUUUGAAGAUGUGCGGCACAGUUCGCUUGAUUGCAUAACUUGUAGGCGUUUUGUUUUCUAAUAGGAUUGUGACACUGUGCUGUGAAAGUUUGGAAGGAAGGGAAACGGCUUUUUCAACCCGUUUCUGUUCUAGCGACGGCUAUGAAAUGAACAUGUUUAUAUACAUGAGUUGUAUAUGUAGAGAGUAGAGAGAAAGUAUAUAGAAAGAUACAAAGUAGGAGGAAAGGGACGGGCCAGGGAUUGAACCCAGGACUUUCUGCAUAUAAAUCAGAAGCGGUAGCCACUAGACCACCAAGCCUGUCGAUAACUAUAAAAGUGCUCGAAGAACACUAAGUUGAAGAGAAGCAGGCAAAGUUCCAGUGAAAGAAAGUGAAUAAAGAAAGAAGAAGAUUCAGCAAGAACAUGCUGAGGGUGACGAGUUUGAUUCCAGGUCGAUCCAGAAACUUUUCAUAAUGGAAAUUUCCUCGACUUCUUUGAGUAUCUUUCUGCCUGUUACACGAUAUACCCCUUUCGGGACGAAUCAGCAUAAUUGCACUGUUAAGCAAUACAAUUCUGUACAAUUAUUUCACACGUUUAGUCUUUGCUUUAUGUAAUGUUGCCUGUUUUAAUUACCCAGUUAUUAUUUAUACUUGCAAUGACUCGACUGGAUAACUGUUUGGUUUUUUACUGGCUUUCGCAUUAUCGGGAAUCAAGACGCUUAGUAUUGUUCUGCCCGACACUUCGACCCUUGAAAAAGGCCAAAUAUAAAAUGCGAUACGUCAGGCACAACAAAACUAAUCGUUUUUGAUCCCCUAGUCGAUAAACGAAAUUAGAAAGAGAUGCAUGUGUGAAAACAUCUGAUACAGAAGCAGUCAGGCUGCAAUAGGUCCUUAACAAGCAAUAUUCGAAAGGCCUUGGCAACCUAAAGAGGAACGUCCUUCAGAAACAUUGGAAGUAAUGAUGGAAACAUCACCUCCCAAGCUCAGUUGUUUCUAAUGAAAAUGAAACGGUUGAGUAACUGCUGAGAGUGAAACGUGGACGAACUAUUUAUGGACAGAUGUUAUACACUCGAAAAGUUCCGUGAAAUUUUCGGAGCACCAAUCGUUUAUUGGAAAUUACCCAACUAACAUUUUCAGCACGAUUAGCUUCAGUCAUUUGCUUUCUGUUGUGUAACAAUCGAAUUGAAGCAGCCAACGCUAAAAAAAGAAAACUAGUCUAAAAUAAACCAUAAGCUAAUACACAGCUGCAAAACAAGCACCAUGCAACUAUGUACCAAACUCGGUUUUCAGGAAUCAAUCACUUGUCACUGGGGCUGCCUUUAUUGCACUAUAUUUCAACUCCAACUUGAACACAUCGAAUAGGAGUUCUCACUAACAAAAUAGCUGCUACUAUACAGUACAUUUCGUAAAACUGACAAAUCCACAAACCAGCAGCGCUUUGAAGGCCGUUAUACGAUUUAAUUACAGCUAGAAGCUGGAAUAAAGAAACUGUUGGUAUACCAACACGGCUUGUUGGAUGUAAACAUUAUUUUCAAAACAAACUUUAAGCGGGAUAUGUAGUUACUACACAUAUGCUUUACAGCAAUCCAUCUCUGUGCUGUGAAAUUAUUUGGGUUGCUUUUAUUGCACUUUAAUCCAACUCCAGAAAAUUUGCCGGAAGAUGUGCAAAUCGAGUAAGAGUCCCUAUAAAACCUAGAAAACAGCUGCUUUUAUACAGUACGUUUUGUAAUGUUACCAACAGCAGCGCUUCGUAGCUGUUUAAAGAAAAUUCUUUCAGCUAGAUGCUGUGACGAAGAACCUGUUGGCGCAACCACACAGCUUGUUCAAUGUAAACAUUAUUGCGUUUGACGUUUCACAAGCUUCUGUACCAAAAUGAAAUAGUUAUAAAGCCUUGCCUGGAGUAAAACAAAAUGGACUGUUUUCUAUGCUAUUUAUAUACACUGUAUAUUAUACAGCACUGUGGCAGCGAGGACAUCAUCGGGACUAGUCGAUACGGGGAUCGGGAGUUCGAUUCCAAGUAGCGGCAAGUACUUUAAUUAUUCAACUUUAAAACCGAUAGUUCCAGUUCUACAUGCAUUGCGUCACAGCAUCCGUAACCUCAAUAUAUUGAGUCGAUUAAUUUGGGGAUGCCGUUUAACUAUUAUUUAACAACUGUGAAAAUGCUGAAAAAGCGCCUUCUCAAGAUGUUAUUCAGUUACUGGUUACACAGGAGCCGAGAAAAGAGCUUUGACUUGGUGGCAUAGAAGCUGCUCGUAUAGCAUAGCUUUGUUGACGUUUACAUUCACAAGAAAAUUUAGUUGGGUAUUGUCCUGCUCGAAGUUCAGCUGUUUAUUAGUAGCAUUACAUUUUGUUUUAUUUCCGUUUGGUAGAUAAGAGUAAUUUUUAUACCCAAAAAACGGCAAAUGCACACGGUAAUAGUGGAGAAAAUAUUGUGAAAGAUCCUAUUGGAAGCUCGUAAAUAAAAGACACGAGCUGAAUAAGUUACAACUUGCCUAUUCAAAAGAAAACUCAUCAGCAUGCUAUGGAAAUUUAUUCAUGAUUUAUCCUGGUUUAAUACGGGCAUGUGAAGCUAGUAAUUCGAAAUUAGUUUUAUGUGGUAGGUUUUUUUUUUACUUUGUAUCUCUGACAUUCCAUAAAAAAAAUUAUAUUAUUACUUAUACUACAAAGCUCAUCAGCUGAAGGCUUGCAUGUUGUUAAGACUUGGUUUUAUCAGUUCUUUUUAUACAGAUAUACAGGUAUUCUUCGAUAUAACGUACCCUCGAUAUAGCGUACCCUCGAUAUAGCGAAUUCGAUAUAACGUACAUUUUGCUUCGAUAUAACGUACAACAUUGAAAAAAAAUAUUUUUCCCACGAAUAACGCUUAGAUAAACUACGAAAUCACUCAAAUCAAUGUUUUGUUGCAGCAUUAGCCUUGUUACCCAGAAUUAGCAAAAUUAGGGGAAAAAUUUAGUAUACGUUAUAUCGAAGCAAAAUGUACGUUAUAUCGAAGCAUAAAAAACGAAAUGAAUUUUUCGUCAAAACUCAAGUUUUUCAUUAUUGGUUUUGUGAAUUUCACCGAAAUCAUUAUUUGGGAUUAAUUUCACGUCGAAUACAUCAAUACUAGCAUAAAAAAUAUAAAAUUUUUCUCUGCUUCGAUAUAACGUACACUUCGAUAGAACGUACAAAGAGAAAACUUUUUUGUACGUUAUAUCGAAGAGUACCUGUACCUCCAAUAAAACUGAAAUGAAACAAAUUCAAGUUUUAUGACAGUUCUAUGGAACGCUGUUCUGAGUCUUGAAGCUUGGCAGAAGCUUUCUUAAAACCCACCUGAAACUCUAGUGGUUAUUUGGAUAUUGUUACAGUAUGUUAAAGUUGGCCAUUUUGUAUGUAUGAAAAUUGACUUUCACUGCUAUUUUCAUGAACACAGCUGUAUGAGAGUGUGACGUUGGAUGUGCUGGUGGGCGUGUGACAUUGGAAUCAAAACAGAUAUUUUUUUGAAGACAGAACAUCUUGCAACAGGGGUAGACAUUUUCCUGUGAAAAUUUGGAGAAAUUCUUCAGAAAAGAGGAAGAAAUUUCUAUAAAUUUCUUUUUCAGAAACUUAACAUUCAAAAUUUCGCCAAAAAAACGUGUUUUGGAAUAUCGCCAGCAAUUCAUACAGAAAUUACACGAAAAAGAUAUAUGGACAUCAGGAAACUCUGCAAAACAUAUCAUUUUCAUCAGGAUUCUUUUCAUUCAUUCAUAAUUUUAGUUAGUGUCACCAAGAUUUUCUGUAAAAUUUUCACAAAAAAAACUAUCAAUUGCUUCCUUGAUUUUUCUCCGUAGAUUCCAUUAGAAAAUGUUCACGUUUCUGGAUGCAACCUCGCUGGUCCAGAACACAUUUGUCCCCAAAGGCUUAAAUAUUCAAGAAAGAGUUCGUUUGGUAUUCUUCCACAGUUAUAAUGAAUUAUUACCACAUUGUUUUUGUACCCUAAGGCCCACUCAAAGGCAAAUAUUCUAUACCAGGAGUUUUAGACCUUUUGGCUCAUGGUGCAUUUUUUAGUAAAUGAAUCCUUCGCGGUGCACCUGUUCAAAAUUGUCAAAAAAUACUAAUUGAAUUGCUUCUGAGAUCUUCAAGGGAGGUUAGUGAAAAUACAUAGCAAAUUCCUGCAUGCAUGACAGCUUUCUGCGAACGUCGUUCAGAUACACUGCACUGUGCAAUCCAGAGCAACUCUGAGCAAUGCUGAUUAACUUUUUAUUCGAAUCUAUUCAAAUGCGGAAAAUCGGGCAAGACUGUUCGAAUUUUCUCUGGUAUCAGACGAUGCUUUGUGAAAACCAGAGAAGACUAGAGGCAACAUUCAGAAAAAAAAUGUCUCUCGUUAAAUCUGUCUUGCCUAUAGUUCAUAUAUAUUUUUACGAGGUGUUUGUUGAUAUCUCCUUUUAUUCUUCGUGAAUACGUGGAGCUCUUUCAUAACUAAAACGACACUCUUCUCUAGGGGCAAGACAGAUAUAACGAGAGAAAAACUGUUUUUUUCUGAGUGUUGCUCUGCAUGCCUCUGGUUUUCAAAAAGGUCUGUCUGAUACCAAAUCAAAACCGAGCAGUCUUGUCCGAUUUACCACAUUUUGGAGACGUAUCUGAAUGGAAAUGGAUUCGAAUAAAACUAGUUAAUAAGCAUUGCUCAAAGCUAAACUGGAUUGCACAGUGUCUUGCGCCUAGCUCAAAGCUUUGCGGUGCACCAAGUGCGCCGGUCUAAAAAUCACUGUUCUACACAGUCUAUCCCCGAAUUUUGUCAGCUCUUUCACCCGAUUUCAUUAAUAUUUUAUGAACAAGAAAAAAAAAAGGAUUUUGAAACAGCAUUACUAUUUUAUAAUCAAUUUUGAUUUAAGGUUCCUCAAGAAAUACCACCUAAGAUUCAUCGAAGGAUUCAUACUAGGAUUUUUCUAGGAAUGCCACUGGAAUUGCUUCAAGAGUUCCUAAUAAGAUUUGUUAAGGAUUUCUUCUAUGCUUUCUCGAGGAAUUCCUGCUGGGAUUUACCCAGUGCUUCAUGGCCGGGUUUCUCCAGAAACUCUUUCGGUGAUUUCUCCAGGAGUUUAUCCAAAGAUUCCUUUGGGAGUGUUUCCAGAGAUUUUUUCAAGGGAUUCCUCCAGGAACUCUUCCGGUGAUUUAUCCGAAGAAUUCUGCUAGGAAUUCCCCAUGGAUUCCUGAAGAAAGCCUCCUUGAAAAUUUUCCAAGAAUUCUUGAUAGUAUUCCUCCAGAAAUUGUUACUUGAAUCCCUUUUCAAAUUAUUUGUACGAUAAUCCAGAUAUUUUGUCAAACAUUUCUCCAAGCAUUUCUUCGUGAAUCCCUAUUAACUAGUUCAUUUGUGCCAAGAACAAUGAUACACGAUGUCCAGGGAUUUGAGAAAUAUCUCCCGACUGGAACAGGAAUCGAACCCGCCGUCUCCGGAUUGGCGAUCCAUAACCUAAACCCCUAGGGACUAGAAGACCUUCUCUGAAAUUCAGGAAUCCCAAUUUAUCAAGGAAUUAUUCUCUGAAUUUUAAUGUCAUACAGAUUAUAUGUUAACUACUUCAAAUAAUUUGAAAAUGUUUUGCCAAUAAAUUAUAACUUAUUGUCAGUUAUCUGGAAUGUAAUCUAAUUGAAAGAUAUCAAUAAAUAUGUACCAUUAGAUCAUUGAUUGAUCUAGUUUCACAACUUCCUAUCUCAGAAAACAAAUUCGCGUCGCAUUCAGAUUUCCGCACCCAACUUAAGAGCAACAUUCUCCACGAUGGAUGAGACCUGUGUUCGUGUUUCCCAAUGUUUGCUUCUUGCUUCGCCACGGCGGCAAAGUACUGUUAGAUUCAAUGAACUUCACACUUUAAUUCACCGGACGUACAGAGUCGAGCCGAACAAGCCAGCAGCGAGUGAGCCAGCGAGCUCAACUCAUUGCCACCUCCGUCCGGCUUCUUCAAUCUUCCUCGUAGUAGCCCCCGUAGCAAUUUGUGUCUUUUACCCAUCCGUGGUGGCGUGGAGCGUUUCUUCUAACACCGCCGCUGCCGCAGCCGCCGCAGCGCUCACACGCGAGAAGUAGUCGUCGGUAUAUGAUUUGGAAGUGGAAUUAAAUUAAUGCCAGAAAAUGGGCAAAUGACUGACAGAGUAGCCGAAAAACCUAUACUGAGGAAAAACGACGAGUCUAGGCAUAUAUGAGGGAAAUAAUCACCUUUUCCUGAGGCUAGCUCCGUCGUCCACCGCGCCACGUCGCGCCGCUUUGAUUUGAUCCGCGAUGGUCUCGAAUCGUUCUCCAAUCAAUUCGAAGAUGUGGCGGCGAUCGAUGAUGAGCUCCAAUCACUUGAGAAUCGGGCGGGAGAGAUUUCUAGCACUUGGUGGUUUCUUUCGCCCCUCUUAGUACGUAUCGACAAAUAACAACAUCAACAACAACGGCAACACCACUUCGGCACUAAGCACUUGAAUUUCCAUAAAAACUCGAGAAAUCUUCUUCUGUUUACUUUUCACCACCACCGUCGCGCACCCCGCGCUCCUGAGCUCUUGAUUACUGCUCUGCUGAUUCGCUUAACGCACACACUUCUUCUAGUAGAGGAGGAAGCUUGUUUAGAGAAGACCGCGCGAUCAUCAAUCACACACACGCUCCCUAUGGAUGAGGAUGGGGGUUUCGAGUCGAGAGCUACCUGUAUGCGCGGCGGAACACCGGUAUGAAAAAUGUGUUUUCAAAGUGCGAAUCCUCUCUCUGGAAUUAGAUUUUCGAUUCACUAGAGGUUCUUCUCUGAUUCGACUUGCUCACUGUCCUGCUACACAGCUAGACUAUAGGUGAAAUUCGGCAAAAUUUGUCGAAAUAUUGAUUGUAGUGGGUGGUUCUGGUUGGUGAUCUACUACGCACUGGAAGGUAUUUUGAUGGUGGUACUGGGUAAGACCGGUGGGUUAGAAGUUAAUCACUGUAGUAAAAUACACUAAGUGUAACUUUCAGAAAUUCAUUGGAUAACUUGUAACAACUUCGUCGUGAAAUAUAGGAGGAGAUUCACUAAAGUGUUUUACACAAUUUUCUUAACGAAUAAAUACUCUGGACACUAACAAUUUCAAUCGAAACUCUUCUUAAAGAUUUUUCAUAUUACAAGGCAACGAACGAGAAAAGCACGAUACGGUAUUUCCGCAGAAAACCUCGAAAAGAAAUCCAACACUUUACGUAUCGGAACAGUACCAUCAGCAACACAGCAUUCGCGUU